GUAGGUGGCAAGCGUUGUCCGGAAUUAUUGGGCGUAAAGCGCGCGCAGGCGGUCCUUUAAGUCUGAUGUGAAAGCCCACGGCUCAACCGUGGAGGGUCAUUGGAAACUGGGGGACUUGAGUACAGAAGAGGAAAGCGGAAUUCCAAGUGUAGCGGUGAAAUGCGUAGAGAUUUGGAGGAACACCAGUGGCGAAGGCGGCUUUCUGGUCUGUAACUGACGCUGAGGCGCGAAAGCGUGGGGAGCAAACAGGAUUAGAUACCCUGGUAGUCCACGCCGUAAACGAUGAGUGCUAAGUGUUAGGGGGUUUCCCGCCCCCCUUAGUGCUGCAGCUAACGCAUUAAGCACUCCGCCUGGGGGAGUACGGCCCGCAAGGCUG
rnacentral:rRNA from 1 species